AGAGUUUGAUCCUGGCUCAGAAUCAACGCUGGCGGCGCGCUUAACACAUGCAAGUCGAACGAGAAAGGGGAGCAAUCCCUGAGUAAAGUGGCGUACGGGUGAGUAACACGUGGGUAAUCUACCUUUUGGUGGGGGGAUAACCCUGGGAAACCGGGGCUAAAACCGCAUAAGCUCGCUAUUUUAAAGAUGGUGAGGAAAAGAGAAAUUUGCCGAAAGAGGAGCCCGCGGCUGAUUAGCUAGUUGGUGGGGUAAAGGCCUACCAAGGCAAUGAUCGGUAGCCGGCCUGAGAGGGCACACGGCCACACUGGCACUGAAACACGGGCCAGACUCCUACGGGAGGCAGCAGUGGGGAAUCUUGCACAAUGGGGGAAACCCUGAUGCAGCGACGCCGCGUGAGCGAUGAAGCCCUUCGGGGUGUAAAGCUCUUUCGGCAGGGACGAUAAUGACGGUACCUGAAGAAGAAGCUGCGGCUAACUACGUGCCAGCAGCCGCGGUAAUACGUAGGCAGCGAGCGUUGUUCGGAGUUACUGGGCGUAAAGAGUGCGUAGGCGGUUGUCUAAGUUUGGUGUGAAAUCUCCCGGCUUAACCGGGAGGGUGCGCCGAAGACUGGAGAGCUGGAGUAUGGGAGAGGUAAGCGGAAUUCCUGGUGUAGCGGUGAAAUGCGUAGAUAUCAGGAGGAACACCAGCGGUGUAGACGGCUUACUGGACCAUAACUGACGCUGAGGCACGAAAGCGUGGGUAGCAAACAGGAUUAGAUACCCUAGUAGUCC
rnacentral:rRNA from 1 species